rfam:Dipodomys ordii contig_10130, whole genome shotgun sequence.
GGGAAGGUAGCUCAGUGGUAGAGUGCUUGCCUUGCAUGCAUGAGGCCCUAGGUUCGAUUCCUCAGCAUCACA